rnacentral:rRNA from 1 species
UACGUAGGGCGCAAGCGUUGUCCGGAAUUAUUGGGCGUAAAGAGCUCGUAGGUGGCGUGUCGCGUCUGCCGUGAAAGCCCAUGGCUUAACUGUGGGUCUGCGGUGGAUACGGGCAGGCUGGAGGCUGGUAGGGGCAAGCGGAAUUCCUGGUGUAGCGGUGAAAUGCGCAGAUAUCGAGAGGAACACCUGCGGCGAAGGCGGGUUGCUGGGCUGACACUGACGCUGAUGCGCGAAAGCCAGGGGAGCGAACGGG